GCAGCCUGCAACUCGGCUGCAUGAAGCUGGAAUCGCUAGUAAUCGCGGAUCAGCACGCCGCGGUGAAUACGUUCCCGGGCCUUGUACACACCGCCCGUCACACCAUGGAAGUCUGCAAUGCCCGAAGCCGGUGGCCUAACCACUUAUGUGGAAGGAGCCGUCUAAGGCAGGGCAGAUGACUGGGGUGAAGUCGUAACAAGGUAUC
rnacentral:rRNA from 1 species